rnacentral:rRNA from 1 species
GACGAACGCUGGCGGCGUGCCUAAUACAUGCAAGUAGAACGCACAGUUUAUACCUUAGCUUGCUACACCAUAGACUGUCAGUUGCGAACGGGUGAGUUACGCUUCCGUAACCUGCCUGGUAGCGGCGGAUAACUAUUGCAAAUGCUAGCUAAUACCGCCUACUAUUUAUUAUUGCAUGAUAAUUUUUUGCAAGUUGCUAUUGCAUCACUACUUAUUGGCCUUGCGUUGUAUUAGUUAGUAGGUGAGGUAACGGCUCACCUAGGCGACGAUACAUAGCCGACAGGAGAGGGUGGUUGGCCACACUGGGACGGAGACACGGCACAGACGGCUACGGGAGGCAGCAGGAGGGAAUCGUCGGCAAGGGACGAAAGUCUGACCGAGAAACGCCGCGGGAGGGAAGAAGGAUGUCGGAUCGGAAAGGUCGGUUGUAAGAGAAGAAAGGGUGUGAGAGUGGAAAGUACACACUGUGACGGUAUCUGACCAGAAAGGGACGGCUAACUACGUG